GAUGAACGCUGGCGGCGUGCUUAACACAUGCAAGUCGAACGGUGAAGGCGGAGCUUGCUCUGCUGGAUCAGUGGCGAACGGGUGAGUAACACGUGAGCAAUCUGCCCCUGACUCUGGGAUAAGCGCUGGAAACGGCGUCUAAUACUGGAUACGAGCUGCGAAGGCAUCUUCAGCAGCUGGAAAGAACUUCGGUCAGGGAUGAGCUCGCGGCCUAUCAGCUUGUUGGUGAGGUAACGGCUCACCAAGGCGUCGACGGGUAGCCGGCCUGAGAGGGUGACCGGCCACACUGGGACUGAGACACGGCGCAGACUCCUACGGGAGGCAGCAGUGGGGAAUAUUGCACAAUGGGCGAAAGCCUGAUGCAGCAACGCCGCGUGGGGGACGACGGCCUUCGGGUUGUAAACCUCUUUUAGCAGGGAAGAAGCGAAAGUGACGGUACCUGCAGAAAAAGCGCCGGCUAACUACGUG
rnacentral:rRNA from 1 species